AUUGAACGCUGGCGGCAGGCUUAACACAUGCAAGUCGAGCGGAGCGAGGGUGCUUGCACCUUAGCUUAGCGGCGGACGGGUGAGUAAUGCUUAGGAAUCUGCCUAUUAGUGGGGGACAACAUUCCGAAAGGAAUGCUAAUACCGCAUACGCCCUACGGGGGAAAGCAGGGGAUCUUCGGACCUUGCGCUAAUAGAUGAGCCUAAGUCGGAUUAGCUAGUUGGUGGGGUAAAGGCCUACCAAGGCGACGAUCUGUAGCGGGUCUGAGAGGAUGAUCCGCCACACUGGGACUGAGACACGGCCCAGACUCCUAUGGGAGGCAGCAGUGGGGAAUAUUGGACAAUGGGCGGAAGCCUGAUCCAGCCAUGCCGCGUGUGUGAAGAAGGCGUUUUGGUUGUAAAGCACUUUAAGCGAGGAGGAGGCUACUUAGAUUAAUACUCUGGGAUAGUGAACGUUACUCGCAGAAUAAGCACCGGCUAACUCUGUGCCAGCCGCCGCAGUAA
rnacentral:rRNA from 1 species